GACGAACGCUGGCGGCGUGCCUAAUACAUGCAAGUAGAACGCACAGUUUAUACCGUAGCUUGCUCCACCAUAGACUGUGAGUUGCGAACGGGUGAGUAACGCGUAGGUAACCUGCCUGGUAGCGGGGGAUAACUAUUGGAAACGAUAGCUAAUACCGCAUAAUAUUAAUUAUUUCAUGAUAAUUAAUUGAAAGGUGCAAUUGCACCACUACCAGAUGGACCUGCGUUGUAUUAGCUAGUAGGUGAGGUAACGGCUCACCUAGGCGACGAUACAUAGCCGACCUGAGAGGGUGAUCGGACACACUGGGACUGAGACACGGGCAAGACUCCUACGGGAGGCAGCAGUAGGGAAUAUUAGGCAAUGGACGAAAGUCUGACCGAGCAACGCCGCGUGAGGGAAGAAGGUUUUCGGAUCGUAAAGCUCUGUUGUAAGAGAAGAACGGGUGUGAGAGUGGAAAGUUCACACUGUGACGGUAUCUUACCAGAAAGGGACGGCUAACUACGUG
rnacentral:rRNA from 1 species